GCCUGUUGGCGAGCGCCAUCUGCUGGUUGUUAGACGGAGUUGACGCUGGUUAGACGGAGAGCAGAUCAGACGGAUCUGGACGAGAGAAAAGACGUAGCAGAUCAGACGGAUCUGGACGAGAGUGAAGACGUGGCAGAUCAGACGGAUCUGGACGAAAGUAAAGACGAGACGCGACGUAUUCGACGAAAUCUACUGAAUGUUCAAUUCUUUUAUGUUAAUGUAUAUAUAUCCUAAAUGUCCUAAUCGUCCUAAAUGUAAUUAAAUGUGCGUUCUGAGUCCUACAGAUAUUGGGGGUUCGGCCGAGAUAUUAAUGAAGAGCCAAACAGGAGUGAAAUUUGACGUAGAGCAAUUUGACGUGCUACAAUAAACCUUUUGGAUACCAACUCCUUGUGGACUGACGCAGUGUGGAUCGACGUUGAAGAAAUUAUUUUUCUACUUUAACUUUCGAGGACGAAAGAGACGUCAGGAUCGCCGAAUGUAGUGACGAGCGCCUGUUGGCGAGCGCCAUCUGCUGGUUGUUAGACGGAGUUGACGCUGGUUAGACGGAGAGCAGAUCAGACGGAUCUGGACGAGAGAAAAGACGUGUCAGAUCAGACGGAUCUGGACGAGAGAAAAGACGUGUCAGAUCAGACGGAUCUGGACGAGAGAAAAGACGUGUCAGAUCAGACGGAUCUGGACGAGAGAAAAGACGUGUCAGAUCAGACGGAUCUGGACGAGAGUAAAGACGUGUCAGAUCAGACGGAUCUGGACGAGAGAAAAGACGUAGCAGAUCAGACGGAUCUGGACGAGAGUGAAGACGUGGCAGAUCAGACGGAUCUGGACGAAAGUAAAGACGAGACGCGACGUAUUCGACGAAAUCUACUGAAUGUUCAAUUCUUUUAUGUUAAUGUAUAUAUAUCCUAAAUGUCCUAAUCGUCCUAAAUGUAAUUAAAUGUGCGUUCUAAAAUAGUA